CGGACGGGUGAGUAACGCGUGGAAAACCUGCCGUAUACUGGGGGAUAACACUUAGAAAUAGGUGCUAAUACCGCAUAAGCGCACAGCUUCGCAUGAAGCGGUGUGAAAAACUCUGGUGGUAAUACGAUGGUUCCGCGUCUGAUUAGCUAGUUGGUGGGGUAAUGGCCUACCAAGGCAACGAUCAGUAGCCGGCCUGAGAGGUGAACGGCCCACAUUGGGACUGAGACACGGCCCAAACUCCUACGGGAGGCAGCAG
rnacentral:rRNA from 1 species